AAGCGGAGGAAAAGAAACCAACAGGGAUUACCUUAGUAACGGCGAGUGAAGCGGUAACAGCUCAAAUUUGAAAUCUGGGUCUUUUAGGCUCCGAGUUGUAAUUUGUAGAAGAUGCUUCGAGCGUGGCCCUAGUCUAAGUUCCUUGGAACAGGACGUCAUAGAGGGUGAGAAUCCCGUAUGUGACUAGGUGCCUAUGCUCAUGUGAAGCUCUUUCAACGAGUCGAGUUGUUUGGGAAUGCAGCUCAAAAUGGGUGGUAUAUUUCAUCUAAAGCUAAAUAUUGGCCAGAGACCGAUAGCGCACAAGUAGAGUGAUCGAAAGAUGAAAAGCACUUUGGAAAGAGAGUUAAACAGUACGUGAAAUUGUUGAAAGGGAAGCGCUGGCAACCAGACUUGCGCGUCGUCGAUCAUCUGGUGUUCUCACCAGUGCACUCGACUACGCUCAGGCCAGCAUCAGUUCUGGUGGUUGGAUAAAGGCCUUGGGAAUGUAGCUUCUUUC
rnacentral:rRNA from 1 species